rnacentral:ncRNA from 2 species
GCGGGGCUGCACAACUGGCGAUAGGGCCCCCGCUCGGGAGCGCCCAAGGUGGCGUACCACCGGGAAGUGCAGCCGGCGUGGUGUCGACUUGCUGCGCCGUUCAGCCGUUCGCCUGGGCAGCCUUC